rnacentral:rRNA from 1 species
UACGUAGGGGGCGAGCGUUGUCCGGAUUCAUUGGGCGUAAAGAGCUCGUAGGUGGUUUGUCGCGUUGUCCGUGAAAACUCACAACUCAAUUGUGGGCGUGCGGGCGAUACGGGCAGACUGGAGUACUGCAGGGGAGACUGGAAUUCCUGGUGUAGCGGUGGAAUGCGCAGAUAUCAGGAGGAACACCGGUGGCGAAGGCGGGUCUCUGGGCAGUAACUGACGCUGAGGAGCGAAAGCGUGGGGAGCGAACAGG